GCUGUGGAAGGGAAGUCCCCAUUGAUGAUUCAGUUUGUCCAAAGCUAAUUUGUUGACUCUUAUGAUCCCUCCAACAGAAAUCACUUUCACAAAGUUGAUCACAGUGAACGGACAAGAAUAUCACCUUCAACUUGUAGACACAGUGGGGCAAAAUGAACAUUCCAUAUUUUCUCAGACAUACUCCAUAGAUGUUAAGGGUCAUCUUCUUGUGCAUUUUGUUACAGCAAUCAAAAGUUUUGAAGUGAUUAAAGUCAUCCAAUGACAAGUUGUCGAAUGUGGCGGGGAAGGGGCAAAUGCCUAUUAGUUGGUGGGAAAUCAAAGAGCCCUGCGUGGGCAAAGGCCG
rnacentral:lncRNA from 1 species